rnacentral:rRNA from 1 species
UACGUAGGGUGCAGGCGUUGUCCGGAAUUAUUGGGCGUAAAGAGCUCGUAGGUGGCCUGUCGCGUCGGCUGUGAAAACUCGGGGCUCAACUCCGAGCUUGCAGUCGAUACGGGCAGGCUAGAGUUCGGCAGGGGAGACUGGAAUUCCUGGUGUAGCGGUGAAAUGCGCAGAUAUCAGGAGGAACACCGGUGGCGAAGGCGGGUCUCUGGGCCGAUACUGACACUGAGGAGCGAAAGCGUGGGGAGCGAACAGG